GUCAUCUUUAUCUUUCCACCUGUGCACUUUUUGUANAUUUGGAUGUAACUGUCCGAGGCAACUCGGUUGGGAGGAAUGCUAUCUUUGAUGGCUUUCCUUGUAUGUCCAAGUCUAUGUCUUCAUAUACUCCAAGUAUGUAACAGAAUGUAUCACUGGGCCUUGUGCCUAUAAACUAUAUACAACUUUCAGCAACGGAUCUCUUGGCUCUCGCAUCGAUCAAGAACGCAGCGAAAUGCGAUAAGUAAUGUGAAUUGCAGAAUUCAGUGAAUCAUCGAAUCUUUGAACGCACCUUGCGCCCCUUGGUAUUCCGAGGGGCAUGCCUGUUUGAGUGUCAUUAAAUUCUCAACCUUACUAGCUUUUGCGAAGUAAUGGCUUGGACUUGGGGGUCUUUUGCUGGUUUCGAAAGAGAUCUGCUCCCCUUAAAUGUAUUAGCCGGUGCCCCGCGUGGACUGUCUAUUGGUGUGAUAAUUAUNUACGCCGUUAGAUGUCUGCUAUUAAAUGGGAUGNGCUGCUUNUAAUCGUCCUCAGGACAAUUAUUG
rnacentral:rRNA from 1 species